GAUGAACGCUGGCGGCGUGCCUAAUACAUGCAAGUCGAGCGAAUGGAUUGAGAGCUUGCUCUUAUGAAGUUAGCGGCGGACGGGUGAGUAACACGUGGGUAACCUGCCCAUAAGACUGGGUUAACUCCGGGAAACCGGGGCUAAUACCGGAUAACAUUUUGAACCGCAUGGUUCGAAAUUGAAAGGCGGCUUCGGCUGUCACUUAUGGAUGGACCCGCGUCGCAUUAGCUAGUUGGUGAGGUAACGGCUCACCAAGGCAACGAUGCGUAGCCGACCUGAGAGGGUGAUCGGCCACACUGGGACUGGGACACGGCCCAGACUCCUACGGGAGGCAGCAGUGGGGAAUCUUCCGCAAUGGACGAAAGUCUGACGGAGCAACGCCGCGUGAGUGAUGAAGGCUUUCGGGUCGUAAAACUCUGUUGUUAGGGAAGAACAAGUGCUAGUUGAAUAAGCUGGCACCUUGACGGUACCUAACCAGAAAGCCACGGCUAACUACGUGCCAGCCGCCGCAGUAA
rnacentral:rRNA from 1 species